UACGAAGGGGGCUAGCGUUGCUCGGAAUCACUGGGCGUAAAGCGCACGUAGGCGGAUUGCUAAGUCAGGGGUGAAAUCCUGGAGCUCAACUCCAGAACUGCCUUUGAUACUGGCGAUCUUGAGUCCGGGAGAGGUGAGUGGAACUGCGAGUGUAGAGGUGAAAUUCGUAGAUAUUCGCAAGAACACCAGUGGCGAAGGCGGCUCACUGGCCCGGUACUGACGCUGAGGUGCGAAAGCGUGGGGAGCAAA
rnacentral:rRNA from 1 species